AAUAUAAACUUUUCAAUACAUAAAAGAAUAUUAUAACGGGUCAAAAAUAGAUUUAAGAAAACUUUCUACUGAGUACUGGGUCAUAAUUUGAAUAUUUAUAUUCAAUUUCAUAUUUUAUUUUUGAAAUUCAUAAUUUUAUAUACUACAAUAAUUAAUAACAUAUUAGAUUUUUUAUGUGUAUGAUGUGAUUCAAUUUUUAAUACAAGCUGGAAAAUCCUAGAAUUGACAGGUUUAGAUCGAUAUUAAUAUAUACAAGAUGGUAUACUAAAGGUGAAACUCUAAAAUUAACAAUCAAAAUACAAGUGUAUAAUUUUAAACACUAAACAAUAUAAAUAAUAUCGACAAAACAUAUACAACUCGCAGUUUACUAUACAUUUAAAAUCAAAUAAAAUAAUAUCAUAUAUUUGUA
rnacentral:sRNA from 1 species